UAAUACGGAGGGUGCAAGCGUUAUCCGGAUUUACUGGGUUUAAAGGGUGCGUAGGCGGAUUGAUAAGUCAGCGGUGAAAUACUCUCGCUUAACGAGGGAACUGCCGUUGAUACUAUCGAUCUUGAAUACGGUUGAGGCGGAUAGAAUGUGUCAUGUAGCGGUGAAAUGCUUAGAUAUGACACAGAAUACCAAUUGCGAAGGCAGUUCGCUAAGCCGUUAUUGACGCUGAGGCACGAAAGCGUGGGGAUCAAACAGGAUUAGAUACCCUGGUAGUCCACGCCCUAAACGAUGAUUACUCGAUCUCAGCGAUACACUGUUGGGGUCUAUGUGAAAGCAUUAAGUAAUCCACCUGGGGAGUACGAUCGCAAGAUUG
rnacentral:rRNA from 1 species